AAAAAAAUAUAAAAAUUUAGGAAUGUAUUAACAUAAUGCUGGAAUGAUUUUUUAAAGUAUUGAAGGAUACCUUGACAUGAGAACAUGUAAUCAUCCUCGUUCGUGUCUUGUACAAAUAUCACUCUAUCAUUACCUGUACAAAAUUUUGUGAAUGCAUAUUUGUGUUUCUUUUGUAUCAAGCGAGAAUUUAAUUUGGAGUUGAUAACCUUACCAUUAUGUUCAUCAUUUGUUAGUUGUGUUGAGGCAUCAAUGUCUUCUAUGGUUGGGCAUACUGAAGAGGGUAUUUCUGUUGGAUGGAGAUUGUUAGCAGAAUAUAUGGAUGUAUAGAAUUUGCAUAUAUUGUAUUGAAAUACGAAAGUUUUGUAUAGAAUUUAGAGUAUUACCGAGAUUCAUCAUUUCUGGCUGUUUUUGCAUUUCUAUGUCAUUGUCCUCUUCGCUCAUAGAUACAUGUUCUUCUGAUGAUGAAUAAAUUGCCCGCUUUUGUUUUUUCAUGAAUUUUUUGUUUUGACGGGCUAGCAAUGUUUGCCUUUCUCCUGGUGUCACAUGUUUAGUGUGUUUAACAUUAAGGCUAGAUGUACUGACUUCAACUGACAUAUCUGUUUCCAUAUAUGGAGGAUUCUCCAUUGCAAUUGAACCUUUCGUUGUUUUGCUGCUCCUCAAUUCACGGUUGAAAUAAAGAGGCUUUCUCAGUUGGCAGGG